UUACAUCAUGUAUGUACACAUCUGGUUUCAACUGUAUAUCGUUAUCGAAAUAUACUGUAAAUUACCUGCAGUCCUGCUCACCUUUAUUGGCAUGAAGUUUAAUUAAGUACAAAAUGCGGAAGAUCUCCUGAAGAAAAUGAAUCAACUGAAACAUUUUUCUAUAGAGAACCUGUGUUUGACACAAAACAGCAAAUGAUAAUUUUAUGGAUAGAUUAAAAAAAAUAGAGCUUUUUGACAAUGGACACAAACAGUAUAGUUUACAACGGCGUAGAAGCCUUUAACUCAUUUAGUGCCUAAGACGUAUUAAUACGUAGUUUAGAAACCAUCUAUUGAGCGUCGAGCACAUAUUUUUACAUACUUUAUAUUUUUUAUUAGGAAGGUGGAGAACAAGGCCUCUUGCAGCUGGACAGUGAAUAUCAAGCUUGUGAAUGGAUUAAUUGCAGUGUAAUCACCAGCAGAGGGCAGCAGUGCCUUUGAUCAGAAUUCAGUCUUGUGCAUGAGAAGAAGCCACUUGAGCGGAAGUGGAUUGUGGAGUAGGAUUGUGUAGUAGCGUGGAUGAGACAACGUGGAGCUCGAGAGAAUAAUAUGCCAAAUUUCAGACAACUGACACUCAGAGAGAGUAUUCUCAAAGCUACAGCUUUGUCAUCUUUGACAAAUGCCGAUGGCAAUCGGAAGGUGGAGAAAAGGAUGACGCUUCGGGGUCAAGGGGAGUGUAAAAAAACCACAUCGAGCAAGAAGAGGCACAUGGAGAGAUUGCGUCUAGCUCACGGUGCAUUCCGUGUGAGCCAGUGUUUUCUGAUUUUGACUCGGAUGAUGAAUUGGACAUUGAACCGGAUUCCUCCGAUGAUUAUGUGCCUUCUUCGGAUGUGACUGAGAGCAGCAGGGCAUCGUCCCCAGACCCUUCAGAAAGUCAUGAAGGAGAUAAGCACUUACUCACGAGCAAGCUAAUUCUCAUAGCCUGUAAAAAAAAAAAAUAAAUAAAAAUAAAAGUUUACCCUCUAUCAGUGCAUGUCUCAUGCUAGAUGAACUGGUUAGAUGGAUUUCUUUAUUUUAUUUAUUUAUUUAUUUUUUUAAGUUAUAGACUGGAGAGCAUUAAAAAACUAAAUUUGGUCCGGUCAUUUCUGCUAAAACCACUGAGUCAAUUAAAUGAGCAGCAAUAAAUUAUAACAAAUGACUGGGCCUUGUCAUGCUUCCUAAAGCAUCAUGGGAAAUAUAGUCCAUUGCUGUCAAACUUAAUCUCUUCUCACCAAAUGCAAUUAAAUGCGAUGGUUCUCCCUUUAACUUAAAUUUUACACCGCUCUUAUGAGUUUUUAUUUUAUAAUCUUAAUUGAUUAAUCCUCCGUUUUUAACAAAUAAUAUGAGCUCUCAAAUAAAUUCUCAACAUCCUCUCCGCCGAUAAACUGCAGUUAAUCUAAAUUCCCAAAGGAUGCAAAAGCUGGCUGGGUCUCCGCAGUACAGUGCCUGAAGUACUGCGAACUGCACAUGACCUCACCAGGCCAUCAUAAACUGGAAACCUGGACAGUUCCUCAAUUCUUCCCAGCCUUGGAGUGUUGUCCUCUCCAAGUGUAACAUCCCCAACAUUCAGUGGCAAAGACUGUGGGGUGUCACAGUGAUGUGCUGACUUUAACUCCAGGAGAUAUUCUCUCCGCCAUCUGUUCCAGAAGUUGAUCAUAGGUCUUUCUGUGUACCACCACCUCUGUGUCAUCUGCUCCUUGUUUGUUGUUGGAUGGUUAAUGUCAGCUAGCAAUUACUUAGGUGGUAGGUAGGGUUGGGCACCGAGAAUCGAGAACCGAUCGAAACCAGGACUAACGUUCGGGUUCUCCCGGAACCUUUCAAAUGUAAAAAUUUCGGUUCCCAGUUUCGAUGCCAAGUCCUCCAGCCGUGAAGAAGUGGCGAAAAGCAACGAAGAAGCGGCAUAAACCAACGAAGAACAACACGCACUAUGACGUGCUUGUGCCCAAUGGCGGUGGCGGCGAACAGAAAUGUGUCUUAACUUUGUUCAAAUGAAUGACCAGUCGCCUCAGUGCAACACUUGGAAUAAGAUUAUAUUGUAAAAAGGAGUUUUUCCCGAUGUGUAGCGUCUGAUGCGCUCCGAGCCUCAGCCUACACCGCGCGGAGCUUUAGUGAAGUCAACUCUCAGUCAAUUGUCUCACAGUAUCACAAACACUAACCUUGUGCCUCAUUGGUGGGUAGGGAAAGGAAUCAGCGUUUUAUAGCAUUUAUUUCCAUCAAUUUGAAAAAAAAAAAAAAAAAACAAUCACCGGUGCCGUGUGAAGUUACUUUUCGUGCCAGAAUGUGCUGAGUUCCAGUGUGUACGCUUCAAAAUAAAAGGCUACAAGCUUAAAACAAGAAGUGAAGUUAAAACGUGCACAUAUAAACCAUUUGACGUGAUGAAACAGAAUACAGGGGCAGCUAUAUAGCAUUGUUAAAAUAGCUAUUUUAACAAUGCUAUCAGUGAAGUCAACUGGGUGAGUGAAACAAUAAAAUAAAAGUUAAAACAUUUACAGUAACUAUUUUAACAAUGCUAUAUUUAACAUUUAGCUGAAACAUGAAUUCAUGAAUAUUAUAUUAUUAUGAGGUUAUAAAGAACCUCGAGUCAAAUGUUCAUUUUAGUCUAUGAAAAUGGAUGUUCAUAAUUUGGACCUUUGCAAACCUUUUUGACCCAGCUCCCUAAAAGAAUCGAGAAUCGUUUGGAACCGGAAUCGCUCAAAUUCAAACGUGCCCAACCCUAGCAGUAGGUAAGUCAGUCUCUGUCCCACUAAGACGUGAGCAGGUGUCAGUGGCUGCGGCUCAUCCACAUUAUGGUGGACGUAGUUGCGUGGUCUUGAAUUAAUUGCAGCCUCACUUCAGUCAGAACGUUGCAAACUUGAGUUUCGCUCUGCCAAGCACUUUCCUGAGAAUGAUUUUGACUGACCUUACAAGCCUUUCCCAGAAUCCGCCCCACCAGACCGCUCUUUCAGCGAUGAACUGCCCUUUUCUGAGAACUCUCGCACCUGUGGAUCUUUUAAUGCUUUUCUAUAGCUCCUUUAAAUCCUGAUCAGCUCGCUCGAAUGUCUUGGCAUUGUCCGAGUAGAUCACCUUACAUAAUCCUCUUCUUGAGAUGAUCUUCUCUGUGGACAAAUCGGAGACCAUCUGUAAAUGCACUGCUUUGGUUACAGCACAUGCGAAGAGUGCGAUGUGUGACUUUGUCAUGGAGUUCUGUGUUUUUACAUAAUGUGGCCCUGCAAAUACUGUGAUCUCAUAUGGUGGCAACUGUUAUUCUGUCCUUUGGUAGCGGCGUAAUUGUCUGUUGCCCUGCCUUUGCAUUGAACCUUUUGCAAAGUACACAUCUUGACACAACCUUCUUGACCACUUGCCAUGCCCUCAAAAUCCAAUAUCUCUCUCUGAUUUGCACUAAAGUGUUACUUACACUUGCGCCAUCUCAUGUUGAUACUGCCCCAACAUUUCUGUGUAUUUGUGGUCUUUGGGCAAAAUCCAUGGGUGUUUUUCUCUGAAAGAAAGCUCAGAAUUCUGGAGCCUUCCUCCACACUGAGCAGCUACUCUUCAUCCAGAAAUGGUUUAGUUCUUGGAUUCUGGAGUUUCUGUUGAGGCAUUUCCCUGCUCUCAGAAGAUAAAUUAAAAUCUGGAUCUGAAUCACAUUAAUCCCGUAUUUCUCCGCUUCAUCCAGCUCCUCUACUCUUAAUUCACCAUUUGUGUGCUUGAGCAAGUGUUGGUGAUUAAUCCAGGCUGUCACUUGGAGUACUGUCUCGAGUUUUCUGUACUUCUCCAAGCAUAACACUGGUUUUAAGAACUCUGUAUCUUGCUUGACAAAACUGUACAGCAACCUGGUAUUUGGAUCUGAGUUCAGUAUUCAGCUCACCUUCCUGAACAUCGUCUCGAGUACUCUCUGACUGCUUAGGUGAUAUCAGAACACAAGGCCCGCUCCACCACAAUGGUCUCUGCUUCAGGUCCUGCACUGUUAUACCUCUAGUGGGAAGGUCAGAUGGAUUCAUUUUUCCUCUGUAGUGUGACCAUAAUUGUGGAUUGGUCAGAGACUAAAUUUCAGUCACCCUGUUGGAUACAAAAGGCUUCCACUUGUGAGCAGAACCAGAGUAGAACAUUAGCGUUCUGACGUCACUGCGGCUAUCUUGCGCGCAGUUUGCCUUUAUACUCGAGUGCAACCCACGUACACUGUUUUGAAAAUGUGCUGCAGUUCUCCUCCAAGUCGGAGGUGUCGCUACAACUGGUAUUGGCUAGGACACCACAGGGUAGAGUUUCCGCUGCAUUUUAUUGUAAAUACCGGUAGGCGUUUUUACUUUCCGGAACAAGGAGCAAAGCAACAACAAUGGCGGCCGUGGAACAGUGGGUGCUGGAACAAAUGGACCUAGAUCAGUGGUCCUCAACUACCGGUCUGCGGACUGGUAACGGGCCGUGAGGCAUUUGUUACUGGGCCGCAGUGAAAGAAUGACCAAUUCAUAUAAUUUCUGUUGUAUUGCAAUUCACGUGUAAAUGUGUUUUAUUUUGAAAAUUGACUGGAAUUUCUCAGACGCAACAGCUGCGUGUCUCAAUUGACACAUCAAGACUGCACAGAACGCUUCCGUUUCCCGUCCCAGCCGGCUCGAACGCUUCUGUUUCUGGUCCGAGCGGGCUGGCUCACGGCGGCAGAGCUCAAAGAACGAAAUCAUUUCAUAAAAUAAUUCAGCUCAUUACGUUUACUGAAAAGAUUUGUUCUUUUGAACGAAACAAGACUAUAUCACUUAAAAUAAGGGUUUAUCGCAACAGUUAACUCUCACGCACCAAGUCCACUCUGAUAUAGAUACGGUCGUAGGUUUCUGCUCGACACAGGCAGAACUACUUUUACGGAGUUAAAAGUCUACUCUCAUUGAGGAGCUACGGAACUGCAGUCUGGUCUGGCUGCCUACAAAAACUCUGACCCCCCCCACUCCUGCAUCCACAGAGGACGCACCACGAAGGAGGAAGCAGAAGCAGCGCAAGCGUGCAGGUGCCAUGAGUGGGUAGAAAAGGAGCUUCCCUGAAUUGCUCUGUCAUUCACAAGCAAAGAUGGGGCGAGGUUCACCUCUUUGUGAACAAGUUCAGAGAAUCUGGAGAAAUCACUGCAUGUAAGCGGCAAGGCCGAAAACCAACAUUGAAUGCCCGUGACCUUCGAUCCCUCAGGCGGCGCUGCAUCAAAAACUGACAAUGUGUAAAGGAUAUCACCACAUGGGCUCAGGAACACUUCAGAAAACUAAUGUCAGUAAAUACAGUUCAGCGUUACAUCCGUAAGUGCAACUUGAAACUCUACUAUGCAAAGCAAAAGCCAUUUAUCAACAACACCCGGAAACGCCGCCGGCUUCUCUGGGCCCAAGCUCGUCUAAGAUGGACCGAUGCAAAGUGGGGAAGUGUUCUGUGGUCCGACGAGUCCACAUUUCAAAUUGUUUUUGGUAAUUGUGGACGUCGUGUCCUCCGGGCCAAAGACGAAAAGAAUCAUCGACACUGUUAUGGACGCAAAUGGUAUGGAGCUGUGUUAGUGCCAAUAGCAUGGGUAACUUACACACAAAAUGUAAUCAAUGUAACGUUUUCCCUCCUUGUCAUGUUUCCUAAAGCAUCAUGGGAAAUAUAGUCCAUUGCUGUCUAACUUAAUGCAAUUAAAUGAGAUGGUUCUGCCUUUAACAUAAAUUUUA